UACGGAAGGUCCGGGCGUUAUCCGGAUUUAUUGGGUUUAAAGGGAGCGUAGGCCGUCUGUCAAGCGUGCUGUGAAAUGUACCGGCUCAACCGGUGACGUGCAGCGCGAACUGUCGGACUUGAGUAUGCGGGAAGUAGGCGGAAUUCAUGGUGUAGCGGUGAAAUGCUUAGAUAUCAUGAAGAACUCCGAUUGCGAAGGCAGCUUACUGUAGCAUUACUGACGCUGAUGCUCGAAAGUGUGGGUAUCGAACAGG
rnacentral:rRNA from 1 species